UUGACCAGGUGGUGGUGGUGUCCUAUUGAAGAGGUAACCAUUGGGCCGUUCUUGGUGACCGGGCGUCGUCCACCGGCUUGGACCAUCGUGGGAGGAGAAGGACCGGGAGAAGAGUCGGCGGCGGAGCAUGUUGGUCAAAGCCAUCGUGGUGGUGGUGGCGAUGGUAGAAGCCUAGCCUUGAAAGAUCAAGGAUAAAUUCGGGGGGACUCGCUUUAGGGAUUUUAUUUGGUUAGUUAUUUACUUAGCUUCCUGAUAGUGAGAAAUGCUCUCUACACGACAUCGUUUAAUGUUUGGCCUAAGCCAAAAUAAAAAUGUAAAUCCACCUGUUAGUACAUUUAUUAUUCAAUGAAUCAGUUCAAUUUAUGUAAUAUUCAAAAUAUAAAAAAGAAAAUCAAAUUUCAACAGAUUUACAUAGCUAUAUUUUUUAAGAAUUUAUUAUUCUACAAAUGAAAUAUUUUUUUUGGAAUUGAAUAAUAAAUAAAAAAUAUUUUUUAUGUCAUUUUUUAAAUUAUAAAUAUUAAACAUAUUCAAGUUUCAUCUUUAAUAAUACCGAAAAUCAUCAAGCAACUUGGUGAUGGUAUACCCACUCAAAGAGAGCCCUAAGGUAACAAAGUAUGUCAAUGUAAAGAAUUUACAUGAUCAAAUGCUUCAAACUUCUUCACUUGUUGACCAUAUAAGAAGAAUCUCGAUUUCUCCUGCAACUAAUUGAGCUAGGUCACGCAUUAUGAAUCGGGAUUUUACUUUACUAUAUAUUUGAAAAAGACUAAAUUUUGAAAAAUAUUGAGCUCCAAUAUCUUUACUCCAUAGUUUAGCUUCUUCUUUUUCUGUCUUCCAUAACAAACUCAUGUAUUCUUCUUUAAAGCAUCGCAAACACUGCCAUAACUUCAUGUGCAGAUUGGCACUCAAACAGUAUAUAGAUCAAGUUUAAAGAAUCAAAAUAUUAUUUAAAUGGCACUCAAAUUGUUAGCUUUGUGUUCAAAGAAAGCUUUAAUCUACAAUAUCAUUUAAGUGAAGUUCUCUUUUCAGGUUUGGGUUAUAGUUACUGCAGUAUAGCACGGCCUUAGCACCAUGGUGUUAGAGCAUAAGCCAACAGAUAGAAUCACUUAAACUGAAAGCCAAUAACAUGUUUGGUCCGAUUGAUAUCUUUAAACCAACAAAGGGAUGGGGUAACAAGAAAGAAAGUAGAUGGUAGUGUGGAAUGAGAAGAUGAUCGUUUUCAUUUCAUUGAUUGAAGUAUUCGUAUCUGACACCUAUAUCCAAACAAAAAUGCGAGGAUGGAAAAUCCUCUAACAUUUUCCCCUACUCCUAAAUUCUCAAUCACAAUUCUAUCAAGUAAAAUAGUCUUUUCCUCCGUACCAUACAUGUCAAACACAAGUAUAUUCAAAAUUCUUAUUCCCAUGCCACAUAUAGGAUGGAUACAAGUACUCAAAAAACCGAAGAAUCGAAGCUAUCACAAUCCUAUUGGUCAAUAAUCCUUCAUUAUACUAACUACUAAAUGCUUAACACUAAUGUAUGGCCCUUCACAUAUAACAAUAACAUAAAUCAUUCUUUUUUUUUUCCCCUUCUUUGUACCAUAAGCAUCAUUGAUAAAAACCAAGUAGAAUACAACUUACAUAUUGCCUCAAUAAACUAAAUAGUAAUAAUACCUUAAAAGAGAUCCCAUCCCAACAGCCAUAAGGGGUCAACUGAUAACCCGUCUUUCCCUAAUACUAUCCUUGUGUAACUUCUACCAUUCGGAACCUUUACGGAUAUACCAUAUUCAUUUACUCCAUAAUACUACCUCUAGUCAAAUGUUGGGUUCUUAAUUUACUAAAGAACUGAUAUUUUCUUCAAACCUAUUGAAAGGACCAACAAGUUAAGCACUAGGGUAAACUAGCUAGAGUACAGUUUUUCUAAGAUAUUCCAUGUCUGUAAUGAUAGCAUUAGGGCAUAAGCAUAUCAAUAAACCCAAUUUAUUCCCAAAUUCUUCUGAACAUCCAUUGAAACUCGAUAAAAUAUUAGAUUAUGAACAGAAACAGGCUAAUGACUUCAUCAUCGUCAUCGAAAGCAUAAAUCCAAUUAAAAAACCCAUAAAAUUUCAACAACUACAAACCCUUUGAACAACACAUUUAUCAACAGAAAAUACAACCUACCAAAAGGACCAGCAAGUUAAGCACAAAACUAACUACAACACAAUUCUUCUAAGAUAUUCCAUAUUUAUAGGGAUAGCUUUAGGGCACUAGCAUAUCAACGUAUUGCAAAUAAACCCAACUUAUUUUCAAAUUCUUCUGAACAUCCAUUGAAACUUGAUAAGUAAAUAUCAGAUUAUGAACAGAAACAAGCUAAUGAAUUCAUUAUCGUCAUUGAAAGCAUAAAUCCAAUUAAAAACACAUAAAAUUUCAACAACUACAAACCGUUUGAACAACACAUUUAUCAACAGAAAAUAGAACCUACCAAAAGGACCAGCAAGUUAAACACUAAAUUAACUACAGACAAUUCUUCUAAGAAAUUCCAUUUUUGUAAGGAUAGCAUUAAGGCAGUAGCAUAUCAACACAUUGCAAAUAAACCCAACUUAUUUUCAAAUUCUUCUGAACAUUAGACUAUGAUCAGAAACAAGCCAAUGAUUUCUUCAUCAUCGAAUGCGUAAAUCCAACUAAAAAAAGCCAUAAAAAUUUAACUACAAAUCCUUCACCCGUUACAAAAGAAAAAAAAAAUCCAAUUUUUGUUUAAACAGCACAUUUUAUAAACAGCAAACUGAAAUUUUCUUAGAAACUACCCAAAAGGACCAGAACGUUAAGCCCUAAACUAACUACUGUACCAUUUUUCUAUGAAAUUCCAUAUUUAUAAGGAUAAUUUUAGGGCAAUGGCAUAUCAAUACAGGAUCAAUAAACCUAAUUUAUUUUCAAAAUCUUUUGAACAUCCAUUGAAACUCGAUAAGUAAAUAUUAGACAACGAUCCCAAAUAAGCCAACGACUUCAUCAUCAUCAUCGAAAACGUAAAAUUAAAAACCCAUAAAAUUUCAACAACUAAAAGUGUUAAAAAAAAAAAGAACCCGUCUUUUUAUUCGAACUACACAUUGAAAUCAAAAGCGUUCGCAAAGAUCCGUACCCCAGAUCCCGGUCGAAAUUUGCUUCAAAACAUCUCAGUCAGAAGAAGAAGAAGACGACUCGGCAGCUAGUUUUUCAAGGGCUUUCUGAUGUGCCCAAGUCUCGAUAGUGAGAUCGGGCUUGGCGUUGAGACCAACACCGAGGAUGACGAUGGUAAGGAAGCUCGUGACGUAGCAAGGCAACUCCCAAUCUUCCCAUUUACGGGAUUGGCCCGGAGGUGGUGGGGUCCUGUUGAAGAGGUAACCAUUGGGUCGUUCCUGGUGACCGGGCGACGUCCACCGGCUUGGACCGUCGUGGGAGGAGAAAGCCCGGGAAAAGAGUCGGCGGCGGAGCAUGGUGGUCAAGGCCAUCGUAGUAGUGGUGG
rnacentral:lncRNA from 1 species